UACGGCCAUAUCCGGUUGAAACACCGGUUCCUGUUCGAUCACCGAAGUUAAGCCACGUCGAUCUUAGUAGAAACCUAGAUGGUUGACCGCUUGGGAAUACCUGGUGUUGUAAG